rnacentral:rRNA from 1 species
UCAAGCUACUAAGGGCAUACGGUGAAUGCCUUGGCACUAAGAGCCGAUGAAGGACGUGGUAAGCUGCGAAAAGCUACGGGGAGCCGCAAGCAGGCUUUGAUCCGUAGAUGUCCGAAUGGGGAAACCCACCAUCCGUCAUGGGAUGGUAUCCUUCGGGAGGGGAACCCGGUGAACUGAAACAUCUAAGUAGCCGGAGGAAGAGAAAUCAAACGAGAUGCCCACAGUAGCGGCGAGCGAAGAGGGCAGAGCCUAAACCAGAGAGCUUCGGCUCCCUGGGGUUACGGACUGGCAUAAACCGAGUCAGGCCUAGCCGAAUCACCUGGAAAGGUGAGCCACAGACCGUGAGAGCCGGGUAGGCGAAAGGCAGAGCAAGGGGGCCAGUAUCCAGAGUACCGCGAAGCACGAGGAAUUUUGCGGGAAGUCGGGGGGACCACCCUCCAAGGCUAAACACUUCUUAGUGACCGAUAGCGCAUAGUACCGUGAGGGAAAGGUGAAAAGAACCGCGGGAGCGGAGUGAAAGAGAACCUGAAACCGUAUGUCUACAAGCAGUCGGAGCGCAAGCGACGGCGUGCCUAUUGAAGAAUGAGCCAACGAGUUACGGGCACCAGCGAGGUUAAGCAGGAAAUGCGGAGCCGUAGGGAAACCGAGUCUGAAAAGGGCGGAUAGUUGGUGUUCGUAGACCCGAAACUGUAGUGAUCUACCCAUGAUCAGGUUGAAGCACGGGUAAAAUCGUGUGGAGGACCGAACCGGUGAGUGUUGAAAAACUUUCGGAUGAAUCGUGGGUAGCGGUGAAAUUCCAAUCGAACGCAGAGAUAGCUGGUUCUCCUCGAAAUAGCUUUAGGGCUAGCCUCAGGCAGUAAGCAUAGGCGGUAGAGCACUGAUCGGGAUAGGGACUGUAAUGGUUACCGAACCCUGUCAAACUACGAAUGGUUAUGCUGCAGAGCCUGGGAGUCAGACUACGAGAGAUAAGUCCCGUUGUCAAAAGGGAAACAGCCCAGACCAUCAGCUAAGGUCCCCAAUGCCAUACUAAGUGGAAAAGGAUGUGGGGUCUCAUAAACAACCAGGAUGUUGGCUCAGAAGCAGCCACCAUUUAAAGAGUGCGUAAUAGCUCACUGGUCGAGAGGCCCUGCGCCGAAGAUUCCCGGGGCUAAAGUAUGGAACCGAAGCUAUGGAUGCAUACGUAAGUAUGCGUGGUAGAGGAGCGUUCCCAUCGGGUUGAAGUCGUCCUGUAAGGGACGGUGGACUGGUGGGAAGUGAGAAUGUUGGCAUGAGUAGCGAAAAGAAUGGUGAGAAUCCAUUCCACCGAAAGCAUAAGGAUUCCUGAGCAACGAUCGUCGUCUCAGGGUAAGUCGGGACCUAAUCCGAGGCAAAGAGCGUAGGAGAUGGACAACUGGUUGAUAUUCCAGUACCGGCAGUGAUCGUUUGAACGAAGGAGUGACGCAGGAAGGCAGGUCCGCACGAGAUUGGUAGAUCGUGUGCAAGCGUGCAGGCUGGUUACCAGGCAAAUCCGGUAACUGAGGCUGAGGCGUGAUGCGGAGGGAACUUGUUCCCGAAGGGAUUGAGCCUACGCUGCCGAGAAAAGCUUCUAGUGAGAAAGCUGCCGCCCGUACCGUAAACCGACACAGGUAUGCGGGGAGAGAAUCCUAAGGUGCGCGGGAGAACCCUCGUUAAGGAACUCGGCAAAAUGUACCCGUAACUUCGGGAUAAGGGUAGCCACAAAGGUGAAGGGACUUGCUCCCGGAGCCCGGUGUGGUCGCAGAGAAGAGGCCCAAGCGACUGUUAACCAGAAACACAGGUGCCUGCGAAAGAGAAAUCUGAAGUAUAGGUGCUGACACCUGCCCAGUGCUGGAAGGUUAAAGAAGGAUGUCCGGGUUCGACCCAAAGCAUUCGACUGAAGCCCCAGUGAACGGCGGCCGUAACUAUAACGGUCCUAAGGUAGCGAAAUUCCUUGUCGGGUAAGUUCCGACCCGCACGAAAGGUGU